AGAGCACCGCUGCUACAAAAAAUAUCGUCGCAAACUAUGUAGCCGCAGCCGCAGCCGCGAGUCAGGAGCAGCACACCCAAUGGUUCCCGUUAGGGUUUGAGGCUCUAGGGCUUUAUAUACAUUCCCUCAGAAUACCUGGCUUCUCUUUCGUGACCUACUUCUUGCGGCUUCUCAUCUGCUUAGCACUUGCAUCCUUAGAAGAGUUCCGUAAACCAUGAGGGCGAAGUGGAAGAAAAAACGCAUGAGGCGCCUGAAACGUAAGCGCCGAAAGAUGAGGCAAAGAUCCAAGUAGAUCUCUGAAGAAGGCUGUCCAGCGGCUUCGGCUAGCCAUAAGGCUUGGGUCGCACACGAGGAAGUCUACAUUCAUUGCUAGCCUCACGGAUGCAUUAGUACUGAUAGGCCUUCGCACCCAUCGCUCUGUAGAGGAUUACAAAUGACGAUUUUGUACUUGAAUGCCUCUGUUGAGGAUGAGUAAAGAUGGCAUGCGGAUUCUAAUGCAAAAACUCCUUGUUA